UACGUAGGUGGCAAGCGUUGUCCGGAUUUAUUGGGCGUAAAGAGCUCGUAGGCGGUUCGAUAAGUCAGGUGUAAAAACUCCAGGCUCAACUUGGAGAGGCCACCUGAUACUGUCGUGACUAGAGUCCGGUAGAGGAGCACGGAAUUCCUGGUGUAGCGGUGAAAUGCGCAGAUAUCAGGAGGAACACCAGCGGCGAAGGCGGUGCUCUGGGCCGGAACUGACGCUGAUGCGCGACAGCGUGGGGAGCAAACAGG
rnacentral:rRNA from 1 species